rnacentral:rRNA from 1 species
AUUGAACGCUGGCGGCAUGCCUUACACAUGCAAGUCGAACGGCAGCACGGACUUCGGUCUGGGGGCGAGUGGCGAACGGGUGAGUAAUAUAUCGGAACAUACCUUGUAGUGGGGGAUAACUAUCCGAAAGGAUAGCUAAUACCGCAUACGCUCUAAGGAGGAAAGUGGGGGAUCGCAAGACCUCAUGCUAUAAGAGUGGCCGAUAUCUGAUUAGCUAGUUGGUGAGGUAAAGGCUCACCAAGGCAACGAUCAGUAGCUGGUCUGAGAGGACGACCCGCCAAACUGGAACUGAGACACGGGUCAGACUCCUACGGGAGGCAGCAGUGUGGAAUGUUGGACAGUGGCGGCAACCCUGAUCCAGCAAUGCCGCGUGAGUGAAGAAGGCCUUCGGGUUGUAAAGCUCUUUUGUCAGGGAAGAAACGGUUGUGGCUAAUAUCCAUGGAUAAUGACGGUACCUGAAGAAUAAGCACCGGCUAACUACUUGCCAGCAGCCGCGGUAAAAC